CUAGAAGACACCAAUUGAAUGGUCACCGAAGGCGGCCACCGAGAAAUAGCAACCAAAAUGACACAACAAUAACGCAUAAAGGGGAUUGAAAAAGCGAAACCGCCUGCGUUAAGCGGCCAUCAAAAACAUGCAUGACAAAUUGGUAAAUGCAGUAGACACAUCACGCGUCCAGAACCCUCCUACGCCACAACAUGCAUGCAGCCGAUAGAAACAAUCCAUCGCCCGACAAACCAAAUAAUUGACCAGGAACCAAAUCGAUGGAAAACCGCAACAGACACUGAUCCAGCAUACCCCAUAAUCUCCUGAGAAUUAAAUCUGUCGCACCCGGACUAAGAUUAGUUCGGUAGCCAAAGAAAUAUUAAUGAAACAGGAAAAACAAAGAAAGAUUUGUGCUCUGUACAUGCCUAUGCUCUCCUCAUCAAGAAGGAUUUACCUAUGCAAGGCAUCUUCUAACAUAUAAAGCUUCCUACACUACCCGCCAUUCUAGCGCCCCCGCGUGCGCGAUGCUCGUUCGGCCACUGGAUUCCUUCCCUGUAGCUCCCUUUUGGCUGCUGGCGUGUGGUGGGCCGCCGGUUUUUUUCCACGUCCAUGGCUGUUUGAAGAGCGAAUGACAAGUGGGGCUCGUUAUGUGUGGGUCAAAAGAAUGACGUGCCUUUCGUUUAAUUCUGCGUAACAAAAGCAAGAAACCCUAGACGGACGAGGGGUAAAAGGAAAAAGUAAAGCAGCCGCCUUAUCUCCUCGCUCGCUCCCUCCUCUCUCCCACGCCGCCCCGUCCCUCUCCCUGCUCGUCCCCUCAUCUCCUCUUUCCUCGAUGCCGGAUCCCCUGCUUGCCUCUCCGACCUAGGCCAGAGCCUCGCCGGCAGCUCCCCCAAGUCGGCGCCCGCUAGCUGCUGGUGUGGAGCCGAGCUUCUCUGACGGCGACGGCGACAAGCUUGUCCAGGUCGUCAUGGCCGGCGACGACGAACGGGAGGGCAGAGGUGUUUCCAUGGCCACCUUUGCCGAGAGCUCGCACAUCUUCAACCCUCAGCCAUGUUAGUUUUGGGGUGGCUAUUUUUUGGAUCCGCUGCUGCCGCGCGCCGUGCGUCUGGAUCAGGCACAGGUCGCCGCCAUAGGAGAGCAGGGUGGCGUGGUCUUUGUGGUGGGCAUGGAGCAAGGGAGGAUGAGGCGCUGGUAUGAGGAAAGGAGCAGCAAGGUCGGAGUUCCAGGCGGUGCUGGCCGUCGUCACAUGUCCCCAGUCUAGAUCUAAGAAAAAAGAGAAGGGGAUGAAUCUGGAGGAAGAGCUUGGUGAAGAACAAGGUGUUCGUAAUGGCAACGGUGGUAAUCAACGAUGAGAAAAAAGGACCGAGAUUGUAUUUGUACUAGCAGGUGAUGCCUUAAUUUAGUUCAUGGCAUUAUGGCGGGACGCAUGUGGUAAAUGGUUACAAUGAUGGCUCAUGGAGUUAAAAUUUUGUGUUCUGUACAGAUUUGAGAUGAUAGAAAUUCAAAAUAGAUCAUGACCACAGCUUGCGGAGUUUCAAAAUCUAACAUCUCUAAUUUCCGCAUCAAGCUAAGUGGUCCCGUUGUUUAGCAUUUAGGCACUUUCUAUUUGUUGCUUCAAUGUAAUGUUUAAGGUUGUUGCUUUAACAGUGUUUGAUCUAGAUUAUCAGUAAAACACACUCACAAUUAGGUGUUCUUCCUUGGUUAGCUGCUUGCAUUUCUUAUGUUUGAUUGGUUCAAGCCAGCAUGACUCUUUUUCUUUGCAUUUCAUAGGGUUCCUUUGCUACUGUUGGUUGUGUCCUUGCUUCUUGGAGAGGAGGGAGGACAGAUGAUUUUGAUGCCAGAAAUAGGGGAGGAACAUAAGGUCAAGUAUCCAUGUUGUUUGGUACCUUAUAGAAGAUGCAUUACGCAAUGGUCUCGGCAACUGCAGCGAGAUUUCACAGUCAUGAUUUUUCCAUAUUGGUAUGGAUUCUAAAACCGUAUAGGAAAAUGCCAUCUUUCACAAAAUGAAACUAUGCCUACAGAGCUGUUGAGGGAUGCCCUGUAGUGGACUGGCUGAGACUGUCGAGCAUCAGGUUGCAAAUCU